rnacentral:rRNA from 1 species
CAGCCGCCGCGGUAAUACGUAGGGUGCAAGCGUUGUCCGGAAUUACUGGGCGUAAAGAGCUCGUAGGUGGUUUGUCACGUCGUCUGUGAAAUUCCACAGCUUAACUGUGGGCGUGCAGGCGAUACGGGCUGACUUGAGUACUGUAGGGGUAACUGGAAUUCCCGGUGUAGCGGUGAAAUGCGCAGAUAUCAGGAGGAACACCGAUGGCGAAGGCAGGUUACUGGGCAGUUACUGACGCUGAGGAGCGAAAGCAUGGGUAGCAAACAGGAUUAGAUACCCUGGUAGUCCAUGCCGUAAACGGUGGGCGCUAGGUGUAGGGACCUUUUGGGGUUUCUGUGCCGUAGCUAACGCAUUAAGCGCCCCGCCUGGGGAGUACGGCCGCAAGGCUAAAACUCAAAGGAAUUGACGG